UCUUAAAAUAUAAAAUAAAAAAAGAGCUAGGGAUGUAGCUCAAUGCAAAGGCUCUGGGUGCAAUUCCCAGUACCACAAAAUUAAUUAAUUAGAAAAAAAUGGAUGGAAAAUACUUAAAAAUCAAAGUACUUAUGAGUAUUCCCACACCCAGCAUUCACAUUUCCUGAGCCAAAGAGAUAAAAAGACAUAUGCUAAAAGGAAAACUGAAUCAAACUGGCACCAACUCCAGCAAGGCUGAGCUACUAAUAUGUUAGGGAAAGGGAACUUUAAGUAUAAACUAAAGGGGCUCUUGGCUGGGUUGAUAUAAAUUAUCUUCAAAAACCCAGAAUCACUAAAAGGAAUAGCUUGGGAUAGAAAGUUUCCACUACUUCUAGACCAGUGGUUUAUGUUUCAUCUCAAAUGCGUCAUGACUGAAUUAAGGAAGUCAGCCUGUUCAGAAGCCAACAUACCAGGACACCUCUAGGGACAAAUCAGAGCCUGAAAUGUCUCCAGUGGCAUCCAGUUUAAGAGAAAUGAGGAGUUAAACAGACAAGACCAAGGAUGUGCCUAACCGUGAACAACUAGGAUUUCUUUACACAUGGCUACUAAAUUAGCAAGCCUGAGUUAACAGGAUUGUCCCACUGAAACCUCACUCUUCUGUUCAAGAAAUCCCAACAUUCCCUUCCAACAUCUGGAUCCAACUGUGUCUCUUCCCAUCUUCUCUCUCCGUCUCUGCAAACCUCCUCCCCAGGGGAACAGUCACAGGUGUCUGCACAGCCCAUCUCCUGUGUGUCCCCAUGCACACUUGUCGCUCCAAGACCCCACCCCUGAGGCUCAGGGACUGAAAGCUUUUGAAGGAACUUCCUUUCCUUCCAGUGUUUUCUCAUUCCACCUCUAGAAGAUACCUGAUCACCAUAAACCAGUCCCCUGAUCCAAUCAGAAUGUGCUCCACCCACUCUUCACUCCUCUUUGCCCCAGAUUCCUUGCCUAUCUGCAUUUCUGGUUGAGAGACCAGAGAGCAAUAUCAUAGGUACAGAAUAAAGGCAGGCUGGUUUGUUACUGGAAAAGGUGGUGCACUCCUGUAAUCCCAGCACUCUGAGAGGCUAGGGCAGGAAGAUCACAAGUUCAAGUCCAGCCUGGGCAACUUUGCAACUUAACAAGAUCCUGUCUCAAAAUAUAAAAUUUUUAAAAGGGGCUGGGGAUGUAACUCUAGGCCCUAGAUUCAAUCCUCAGUACUGAAAACAAAACACAUGUCCAGGCACACACACAAAUGCACAGUUUACCUGAACUUACUACAGGCUGAGCAUCCCUUGGCCAAAAUUUUUGGAACCAGAAAUGCUUCUUUGAGGUUUGAGAUUUUUAAAAAAUAUUUGCAUAGUAUACAUAAAGAGAUAUCUUAGGGCUGGAAUCCAAGUCUAAACAUACCAUUCCCUUAUGUUUCAUAUACACCUUUUAGCCGGAAAAUGAUGUUAGACAACAUUUUUAGUGCACCUGUGUUCUAAGUGUGACCCGUGACUUGAGGUAAAGUGUGGAAUCUCCUACUCCGGGCAUCACACUGCUGGAGGCAGCUGUUUUGAGGGCACUUUGGAUUGGGGCUUUUCAUGUUAGGGAUGCUCACUGUCCUUGGGACCAACAUCAUUUCUUAGUGGACUCUGCAGUUCCAGCUGAACAGUCUGGUGAAAACGUAAGUAGAAUGACCCAAAAAGGAGUGAAGGGAAAAAGCACAAUCAGGAGAAAACCAAAACCCAGGACAGUCAGUCUCAGGACUUGUAUCCUGUCGAGGGCCGAGUCAUUUUCCAACUUCAGAGAAACUUUCUGGGCUUGUCCCCUGGAUGUAAAAUGGCGUGAAAGUAUUACACUUCCAGAAUUUUAAAUCAAGUUCAAUCACACACACAGUGGACUCACAGUAACAACAGAGAACUGGUACCAGGACUCCCAGAUACCAAAGCCCACAGAUGGUACAUCUCUUACAUCAAAUGGCACAGAACCUGUAUGUAUCCAUCCAGAGUUUCAAUCAUCUCUGCAUUACUUGCAGUAUUUACUACGAUAUGAGUACUAUGUAAGUAGCCGCUAUAUGGAAUUUAGGGAAUAACAACAAGAAAGUCUAUACAUGCUCAGUACAGAUGUAAUAUUUUUGAUCCGUAGUUGGUUGAAUGCAUGGAUGUGGAGCCCAUGGAUAUAGAACACAGACUAUAUUUAAAUAAACUAUGAUAUGUAUACAUUUUAACAUUUUUUUAAAUAACAAAAUAAUUUUUCAUCCUGACCCAUGCAGGUGACUUGCCCCAAACCGCAUGGCUAGGGUAGGCAGUGCUCCAGGGUGAGGCCACUCAUCCACCACAGGCCUCUUCUCCCUUAGCCCCCACCCCUGCCAAAUUGUGGGUCCCCCUUCCCCAUGGUGGGGAUUAAACCUAGGGCCUUUGCACUGGGCCACAUCUCUAGCCCCAGCUCCACUCAUUUUUUUUUAAAAGUAGUCUUGCCAAGUUGCCCCGGCUGGGUUUGAAUUUGGGAUCCUUCUGCCUCCACCUCAAGUGUUGGGAUCAAGGUGCACACCACCACGCCCAGCUCAAGUCUAACUAUUCUUUAAGUCACUGGCUCUAGGCUUUGGGGAGUCACAGGCCUCUUUGAAAAUCUGGGGAAAGCCACAGAUCAUCUCCCCAGGAAAAGAAUGUGGUGCUAUCUCUUCUAAUAGAUUGGGCUCAUAACUUAAGGGGCUCCCUUCUAAACCUAAGCCUCUCCACAAGCACCCUAGCAUAAGCCACUCUUCCACAAAAUUCCUGUGACUCCCAUGGCCCACAACAGUGGCAUUAAUUGUUGGGUGAUUAAAAAUGGAUGGAGACCAGUUGAAGGAAGUAGAACAUGGGAGUGGACCCUAAGGACUACAUGUGUACUCCCCAGACCCUUCUCUGGCUCUCUUCCUCUUUUUCUGCUUCCAGCUUCCAUCGGGUGAGCAGCUUUCUUCCACCACACCCUUCUUGGAGCCAGCUGACCAUGGACUGUAACCUCUGGAAGCCAUGAGCCAAAAUAAAUCUUUUUUCCUCUAAACUGAUUGUCUCGGCUACAGUAUUUGGUCACAGUGCCAAAAGCUAACUAACACACCCAGUUAAGUCAUAAUCCAUGAGCUGGCUGUCAUUGGGGUCGAUGCCACAGGCACACAGCUGCCAAGCAGAACCAUUCUGGGCUCCCAGAGGAGCAACUCGCGCACAGCCCAGAGGAGAGGUAGAGAGGCAGCUUCAUGUGAGUGCUCCCAGCUCCACUAUGGAGAGAAAUCCCCAGAGCUGCAACUACACAAUCGUGACAGCGCCCACACGUGGUGGGAGUGGAAAUGGACAGGCGGCACUUUCGAGAAGAUGUGAGGAGGAAGAAAGCAGCCACGCACUCGAGUGCCAGCUCCACUCCUCCAGCAUGUGGGUCUCGCCAGGCUCUCGGGGGACCAGUGCCACAGGGAAAUGAGAUCCUGCAGUACCUGUCCCCCUGUGCCUGGCUGAUUCACUUGGCAUCACCCAGGUCCACACUGAACCUGCUGAGAGCGUUGGGCCCUCCUGCCCAGAGCAAAACCCAGACAGACAAGAACAGGAGAAGCUGGCCCAUGGGAGAGGUUAAGAGACCAAUGAGGCUAGAAAACAAACCGUCUUGACCAUCAGGGGUUCAACCCAGCUUGAGGAAUACUGAGUACCUGACCCUGGGUUGGAUUAAGGAGUUGUGGAAAAUAAAGAAAAGGUGGCCCCUAAACUGGAGACACAUACC